rnacentral:lncRNA from 1 species
AGCAAAUCCGAACAGGCAAAGGCCUCACUCUCCAGUGCAGUCUGGGAGGACUGAUCAGGGAAGAACAGAUCAGGGUGAAGAACAGAAAGACCCCAAGGCAUCUCCCCAAGAUGACCACAGUUGUCCCUGAAGAAGCAGUCACAGCAAGCUCACUUCACAGGAACCAAGCUGUGGGCUGAUCCUACAGACUUGAAAAGACAACUCAAAAAGAUUGUCUGUGGGGUCAGAAACAGCUCUGGAGGGGUCUGCAGAAAUUACUUUCCCAAGUCUUUGGGCUGGAAGGAACGAACAGUGCCUGACCAAGGACUUUGAGCAGGAGAGAGAUGGGAGCAGAGAGGAGCCAAGGUCUACUAUUUUCACUUCUGUCAAUUAGAUCAAAGCCCUGCCCAGAAGCUUUGAGCGCCGCUGUCAAGUCCCAUUCCUCCCCUAAACCAUCCAGGUUCCAUCUGCCUUGAAGCCAAAGGAUCUUCUUAGAUUCCUCAAGAAAAAUUCAGGCCCCGAGUUUCUCCACCAGCACUCUCCUCUCCCCGAAGGAGUGGGUGGGCUGCAUUUCUCUUCAUAUUCUAUUCCAUUCCAGACCGUCUUGGACUACCAGCCUGUCCGCCACCCCUCGGGGCCCUCCCUCCUACUCUGCCCUUGCCCGCUGAGGUCCCAAGCUGAGGAGAUGAGCCGAGCAGUAAAAAGAGAGGAGGUUUGGAAAAGCAAUGUCCUCUCAGUCUUUAAUAGGUGGCCCCCCUGGGAACCUGCUGGAAGUGGAAGUUAAUAAGCUGAAGGUGGUCACAACCAAUCUCUGCCACACUCGCACCCUACCCCACCCCAAAUCAUUCCUUUUAAUUAAUAGUGGAAGACCUUUUUAAAAAUGUAACAUGAAUUGGCUAUUUCUUGAGGCAAACAAAAGGUGGCUCUGAAGCGAUAUAUUUGUACUCGUAUAAAUUCAUUAAAAUAGAAAGCUUAUAACCAUCCAGGUUUCACUGACAGCCCCAGUCCAUCUACAUGCAGAAAUGGUCCCUCCAAAGCCCUCUACGACAAUUAUUCUCACAGAUCGUCAUGAUAAACUGUAAGGGAAUAUACUAAGAAAGAGGGAAGAAGAGAGGAGGAGUCCAUUUUUAAUUAGUGGUUGGAAAUAGAGUAAAAAUUAGAGGGCCUUAGGUUUAAAACACAGAUGUGCAUUGUGAUCGUCUGAAGGAAGAGCUGUUGACAGAGAAAACAAGGUGGUGAACUAUGCCCUUGGCCUGUGACAGUUAGGUGAGGGUUGCUCACCGCAGAAGACAGACCGGUAGAGCCCAGCAGGAAAGAGGGUAUCAGGCUGGAAGAAGUGCAGUUUGGCCCUGGCGGAGUGGUGGAGUGGCUGGAGCGACUGCAGGAGGAGGAUAGAUCUGGAAGCAGGUCUGGGCUAUACUUUGGCCUCAGCCAGGGAGCCAGAGAAGGAAGGCUUGGGUUCGAGGGGGGAAAUCAUUCUCCCAAAUUGCUUUCUCAGAAGCGCCAAUUCAGAUCACCUGAAGACAGGGUCUGGGCCCCAUUACAGCAUGGUUCCCAAAUGGGAGUGUGCUUGGAAGCCUUGGUGAUUAAAGGGUGCUGACUAAAAGAGUCAAACUCUGUAAAAUAUUUGAAGAGAUUUAUUCUGAGCCAAAUAUGAGUGACCAUGGCCCAUGACACAGCCCUCAGGAGACCCUGAGAACAUGUGUUCAAGGUGGUCGGGGUACAGCUUGGUUUUAUAUGUUUUAGGAAGGCAUGAGACUCAAUCAAAGACAUUUUAAAAAUACAUUGGUUUGGUUCAGAAAGGUGAGACAACUCAAAGUGGGGGCUUCCAGGCUAUAGGUAAAUUUAAACAUUUUCUGACUGACAAUUGGUUGGGUUUAUCUGGAGACCUGGGAUUAAUGGAAAGGAAGGUUCAUGUUAAGAUACAGAACUGUGGGGACCAAGUUUUAUUGUGCAGAGGAAUCUCUCAGAUAGCAGACUUCAGAGAGAGAGAGAGCAGGUUGUAAAAUGUUUCUUAUCGGACCUAAAAGGGUACCUGGCUCUUAGUUGAUUAUCUCCUGGAUCUGGGAAGGAAGGAAGGAAAACAAAGGGGAAAGGAAAUAUUUCCUAUAGAAUAUGGAUUUUUCCCACAAGAGACUUUGCAGGACAAUUUCGAGAUAUGGCAAGGAGAUUUAUUUUGGGGUAAAACAUUUUGAUUUUCUUCCUUGUUAUGCCACAGUCAGAUUGGAAAGUCAGUCAUGAUAUACAGGGUCAGAUAAAAUCCGUCUGAUGAGAAUGUAUGGUUGGUAGGGCAUGACUCCCCAGACCCCUUAGAUAGGAAUCUGGGCAAGAUAAAAAAUCGGAGCUUAGUCCUCAAGGGAAGGGGCAGCAGCGCUGUUGGCGGGCUCACCAAGCAUCAGUACUGGAUCACCAGGCUUGGGAGAGUAGGGGUGUCAAGGCCCCAAGAGCAGGGAGGGCCUUGGCCCCACUAGGGGGGCAUCAGAAAGCAGGGAGCACUUGUAGUUCACCAUGAUUCCCCUCAAAGCCCUGGGCCAGCCUCCUGCAGGGAAGGCGGGCAGGAAGUCUUCCCCAUAGGGGCAGGCUUGCUUUUUUGGCCAGCCAUCCUCUUCAUAUGAAAAACAGCAUCUUGUCAUUUCUAGAUGUUUCUACUUUGGUUGACUCUUUAAUUUUUCUGCAGUUAAAAGCCUUAAAACAGCAAGGAAGCAGGGGACAGGAGGGGAGCCCAGAUCUCUCCCAAAGAAAAGGAGAAAGACUGAAUCCUUGAGGCCUGCCGUACAAAGGAGUGGUGGGUUGGAGGAGGGUAGGCAGAGACUAGGGUGGUCUGGGACUUUAAGUACAAGGCCCCGUGGAUUUCAUUGGGGGGCAAGCCAUGUGCAACAGGGAAGCUCAGGAACCGGGGGGUUUCGCACAGAGGUCUGGUGCUGUGAGGUACAGGGAAAGAAUUAGUGGAUCUGGACCAGUGGAACAUUGGUUUAGUGUAAUCUCUGAUUUGUGUUGAGUGAAUUUGAGUAUAGUCCAACCACCACCCCCCUACCCCAACUAAACCAUGUGCCCCUCAGGAGCUGGGACUCUUCUAUUUUCUAUUCCUUAUAGCAGGCUCAGUGCCUGACACACUACGUUGAAUUUUAUUUUAAACAUUUCAUUUACAUUAAAUGGUAUAUUUGCAAGUUCA